AGAGUUUGAUCCUGGCUCAGGACGAACGCUGGCGGCGUGCCUAAUACAUGCAAGUCUACGAGAAAGUCGGCUUCGGUCGGCGAGUAAAGUGGCGAACGGGUGAGUAACGCGUAGGCAACCUGCCUUCAGGUUAGGAAUAACUUUGCUAACGUGAAGCUAAUACCAAAUAAUGCAGUAUCUUUGCAUAAGGAUAUUGUUAAAGAGGGGGAUUCUUAUGAACCUCUUGCCUGAAGAUGGACCUGCGUUCCAUUAGUUUGUUGGUGAGGUAAAGGCUCACCAAGACUACGAUAGAUAGCCGACCUGAGAGGGUGAUCGGCCACACUGGGACUGAGAUACGGCCCAGACUCCUACGGGAGGCAGCAGUAGGGAAUAUUGCGCAAUGGCCGCAAGGCUGACGCAGUAACGCCGCGUGACUGAUGAAGCUCUAAGGAGUGUAAAGGUCUGUUAGGAGGGAAGAAUAAUUCAAACGUGAAUAACUUUUGAACUUGACGGUACCUCCAGAGAAAGCUCCGGCAAACUCCGUGCCAGCAGCCGCGGUAAUACGGGGGGAGCAAGCGUUGUCCGGAAUCACUGGGCGUAAAGGGCGCGUAGGUGGACCUGUAAGUCAGAAGUGAAAAUUGUCGGCUUAACCGGCAACCUGCUUUUGAUACUACUGGUCAUGAGUAAAACAGAGGAAAGUGGAAUUCCUGGUGUAGCGGUGAAAUGUGUAGAUAUCAGGAAGAACACCGGUAGCGAAGGCGGCUUUCUGGGUUUUUACUGACGCUGAGGCGCGAAAGCGUGGGUAGCAAACAGGAUUAGAUACCCUGGUAGUCCACGCCCUAAACGAUGAGCACUAGGUGUUGAAGGCUCGACCCCUUCGGUGCCGAAGCUAACGCAUUAAGUGCUCCGCCUGGGGAGUACGAUCGCAAGAUUGAAACUCAAAGGAAUUGACGGGGGCCCGCACAAGCGAUGGAGCAUGUGGUUUAAUUCGAUGCUACGCGAAGAACCUUACCGGGGUUUGAAAAGCAGUUGAAGUGCCGGGAAACCGGUAUGCCUUCGGGCAGCUGUACAGGUGCUGCAUGGUUGUCGUCAGCUCGUGUCGUGAGAUGUUGGGUUAAGUCCCGCAACGAGCGCAACCCCUGUUCCUAGUUGCCAUCAGCUCGGCUGGGAACU
rnacentral:rRNA from 1 species